rnacentral:rRNA from 1 species
CUACGGGCGGCUGCAGUGAGGAAUUUUGCGCAAUGGGGGGAACCCUGACGCAGCAACGCCGCGUGAGUGAUGAAGGCUUUCGGGUCGUAAAGCUCUGUCAAGUGGGAAGAACCUAUGCAGUGUUAAUAUCACUGUAUACUGACGGUACCACUGAAGGAAGCACCGGCUAACUCCGUGCCAGCAGCCGCGGUAAUACGGGUGGGUGCAAGCGUUAUUCGGAAUCAUUGGGCGUAAAGGGCACGUAGGCGGCUUGGUAAGUCAGAUGUGAAAGCCCGGGGCUUAACCCCGGAAGUGCAUUUGAGACUGUCAGGCUUGAGUAGGGGAGAGGGGAGUGGAAUUCCUGGUGUAGAGGUGAAAUUCGUAGAUAUCAGGAGGAACACCGGUGGCGAAGGCGACUUCCUGGACCAAUACUGACGCUGAGGUGCGAAGGCGUGGGUAGCAAACAGGAUUAGAUACCCGGGUAGUC